rnacentral:rRNA from 1 species
UACGUAGGGUGCGAGCGUUGUCCGGAUUUAUUGGGCGUAAAGAGCUCGUAGGCGUUUCGUAAGUCGGAUGUGAAAACUCAGGCUCAACCUCGAAACGCCACUCGAUACUGCUGUGACUGGAGUCCGGUAGAGGAGUGCGGAAUUCCUGGUGUAGCGGUGAAAAUGCGCAGAUAUCAGGAGGAACACCAACGGCGAAGGCAGCACUCUGGGCCGGUACUGACGCUGAGGAGCGAAAGCGUGGGGAGCAAACAGG